rnacentral:tRNA from 1 species
AGCAAAAUGCCUGAUAAAGGACUAUUUUGAUAGAAUAGAAUAUGUAAUAAUUUUUUACUUUUGCUA